GCAAUUCCUGUUUCCACUGUUGCCUCAGAAUCCGCAUUCAGCACUAGUGGAAGAUUAAUAAGUCCACAUCGAAGUCGACUUCAUCCAAAAACUUUGGAGGCUUUAAUGUGUGCGCAAAGUUGGUUGUUGAAUGAGAUUCAAGAAACUUGUUCAGAAGAGACCGAGGCAUAUUGUCGCUCUGUUGAAUAUGAUUAUGACGUGGAUGAGGUACCUUUUACCGUUGUUGCUUCAGUAU